GAUGAACGCUGGCGGCGUGCCUAAUACAUGCAAGUCGAGCGAAGCGGGCACGGGGGAGUAACACGUGGAUAACCUCCUAUAAGACGGGGAUAACCUCGGGAAACCGGAGCUAAACCGGAUACGUAUCGGUGGAUCCACUCUGCAUUAGCUAGUUGGUAAGGUAACGGCGUACCAAGGCAACGAUGCAUAGCCGACCUGAGCGGGUGAUCGGCCACACUGGAACUGAGACACGGCCCAGACUCCUACGGGAGGCAGCAGUAGGGAAUCUUCCGCAAUGGGCGCAAGCCUGACGGAGCAACGCCGCGUGAGUGAUGAAGGUCUUAGGAUCGUAAAGCUCUGUUAUUAGGGAAGCGGUACCUAAUCAGAAAGCCACGGCUAACUCCGUGCCAGCAGCCGCGGUAAUUC
rnacentral:rRNA from 1 species